rnacentral:rRNA from 1 species
GAGUUUGAUCAUGGCUCAGGACGAACGCUGGCGGCGUGCUUAACACAUGCAAGUCAAGGGGGCCCGGUAGCAAUACUGGGCAACCGGCGAACGGGUGCGUAACACGUGAGCAACCUUCCGAGAUAUGGGGGAUAGCCGGCCUAACGGCCGAGUAAUACCGCAUACGCUCUCGAUGAGGCAUUUCAUUGAGAGGAAACCUCCGGGGUAUUUCGAGGGGCUCGCGGCCUAUCAGCUAGUUGGCGAGGUAACGGCUCACCAAGGCAACGACGGGUAGCUGGUCUGAGAGGAUGGCCAGCCACAUUGGGACUGGGACACGGUCCAGACUCCUACGGGAGGCAGCAGUGGGGAAUAUUGGACAAUGGGCGAAAGCCUGAUCCAGCCAUGCCGCGUGUGUGAAGAAGGUCUUCGGAUUGUAAAGCACUUUAAGUUGGGAGGAAGGGCAGUAAAUUAAUACUUUGCUGUUUUGACGUUACCGACAGAAUAAGCACCGGCUAACUCUGUGCCAGCCGCCGCCGU